GGGACAUCUGGGAGAGUCCAGAGUGAACCAGGCCGCGUGAGGAGAGGGGAAGGGGAAGAGGAAGAAGAGAAGGGAGAGCCAGAAGAGUACAAGGUGUCUCCCUUCAAUGACCUGACUUGUCUGACCAACCACUUCACUCGUGUGUGAGCCUAGCUGGACUUGGGCUCUGUAUCCUAAGAGGCUCACACAGCCUGGAUGCCAGAGGAGGCUGCAGUCACUAUCAGGGCCUCUGCUUAGAGUCUCACAGCCGGGCUUCUCCCACAGUGAGUGAUCUGAGCCUUCUUUCAGAGGAAACUCGUAGAAGUUUCUGCUUGGUAUGUUUGUUUGCAUUUGUUAAGUGUGGUCAUUUAGCUUCUUAGGGGUUAUCUUAUUUUAUUUUGAAGCAAAUUCAUCCCUGGAAUGCAUGCAUUCUAAUCUGCAUUUGGCCUGCUCAUUAGGGGAGCCUUUUACAUGCCCAGUUGUACAAGUAACUGGGUGGGUUACUGUACCUCACAGAUGAGUUGUUAGAAGUCCAAGUGACUGUAGAUCUACAGUUAUGAUCUUCUCUCAGCAUUGCCAGCAUUGUUUGAGGGCUAUCAAUCUGAUUCUAAUAUCAACUAAUUCCAAACAUUGAUGGGGAGUAUGGAGUCUUUCUCAAUCGAGAGUCUAUCUUCCCAAUUAACUCUAACUUCUGUCAAGUUGACAUAAAACUAGUCAGCCCCAAAUCUGAAUUUAUUUAUUUAUAUAUUUUAUUUUCUGUGUGUGACUAUUUUGCCUGCAUGUAUGUAUGUAUGCAUGUGUACCAUGUGCAUGCCUGGUGCCCUAUGGGGAUCAGAAGAGUGAAUUGAUUUCUCUGGAACUGGAGUUAUGGAUGUUUGUGAAUAAAUGGGGAAUAGAGCCUGGGUCCUUUGUGAGAACAAGAGUUCUUAACCACUGAGCCCUCCCUCCAGCCCUGCCAGAACUGACAUGAUGCCAUAGCUGGAAAAUUCCACACCUGCUCUCAUAAUACCUUGCAGUCAAAAUAUUUCUUAGCCCACAGGAUCUUCUGGAGCUUGGCAGGCCCUGUGCUAAACAGCAAAAGACAACUAUGCCUUCAGCGACCAUGGAGGACCCUGAGGAGAGGCUCUAGGUGCCAACCAAGUAAGUUCUCUGUUGUUUUUUAAUCAAUAACUCAAGUAAAAUUUCAUCCUUCUCAAAGAUCUCUGAUGCAGUUUGACAGCUGAGAGGUUUUGUCAGUUUAAAAGGACAAUCUCAUCAAACAAAUUUCAGUAAAAUACAAAUACAAGACCUGCAAGUUAUAAAGGUGUGAGGACAAAUACAGGCUGCCUUCCUAGUCUUAAAAAUACUUUUCAUUGUGCAAAAAUAUCUGUCACAGUUAUUCUGACAUAAAUAUGCUACUGUUUAUAUAAUGUAUAUGUCUAAAAUUUCUGUUUUUACAAACCCAAAAAAUUAUUGUGAGUUCCAGGGAGCUGAAUUGAAGAAUCCACCUUAAACAGGUCAGAUACAUCCCCUCAAUUCCCUGGCCCUAAUUUUUUUUUUCCUAAACUUAACUUUAUCCUCUGUUCUGCCAAUACCUUAAACAGGUGUAAGAGACACCAGACAUUUCCAUACCACAAACACUGGACAGGAACAAACAGACCAGCUAUGUCAGGAUGUGACCAGCACCCAGAUUUCUAAGGUUCUCUCCACCAAGACGACACCCACAAAUAAGCAGGAAGCAGUCUUGAGAAUCCACUGCCCCAAUAUCUUUAUCCUGUUGUGCCUAAACUUCCGCCUUUUUAUUAUAAAAAAGAGAAGGGAAUGUAAUGGUCUGUUCUGUUCCUUUAAGAGACAAGUCACCCCCCCCCCCCCAUUCGCCGUGGCAAACUGAUCUUCAGCUUCCAGCCUGAGUCCUUACCUUUUCUGUCUCCCUCUGGAAG